rnacentral:rRNA from 1 species
UACGGAGGGUGCGAGCGUUGUCCGGAAUCAUUGGGCGUAAAGGGCGCGUAGGUGGCCCGGUCAGUUCGUGGUGAAAGCGCGGGGCUCAACCCUGCGUCGGCCAUGAAUACUGCCGCGGCUGGAGCACUGUAGAGGCAGGCGGAAUUCCGGGUGUAGCGGUGGAAUGCGUAGAGAUCCGGAAGAACACCGGUGGCGAAGGCGGCUACCUGGACCAGCACUGACACUGAGGCACGAAAGCGUGGGAGCAAACAGG